UCUCUCUUCUUCCUCCAGCUUCCCAAACUGAACUAGACUAGACCCUGGGAGUUCCCAAAUGGGAGCCACAGAACUGGCAGGUCACCAGCCCUGAGGACGGGACUGGGAAUCCCCGCCACUUCCAGUGCUGCCACAGGGAGUCAACAUGGAGACAGGCAUCCAGGAAAGGAAAAGAUUUUUCUCUCUGGAACCCAAAGGACUAAGUCAGGCUCACCUUCCCUUCUUUACCUCACCCAGAGGAGCACUGGCAAGGCCACCACUUUAGACAACGCCUCUCUGGCCGAAGAGAGUUGUGAUCAUUAGCUUGUGCUGCUUUCCUCGCUGCAAACAACAAAGCGCUCUUGGCUCGAUAGUGAGGGCAGCUCAGGAACACACCAAGCUCUCUGCUGCCUGCGGGUUUUUGGGCUUGCUGUUUCCUCUGCCUAACCCUUUCUCUAUACCUCACACCCACCCCAACACAUUCACACAAGGCUAGCUCUUUCAUAACCAAUAGCACCUCCCUAAGAAGUCUUCCCUAAUAAACCAGCAAGUAAAUGAAGAGUGAACGGAGAAGGAAGUAUGGAGUAAUAGAAAGAGCACUGAAACUAUAGCAUUCAGAAAACCCUGGCUCUUGCUCUAAUUCUGCCCCUGUUUACCUGUGGAUAAGACACGUCACCUCACCUGACCAGAAUCCACAUGCCCACCAUGAUGCACGUGGCUAGUGAGUGAUGUUCAUAAUGUGCCAUACACCAGAAGUCCUCCCAAUUCUUGCUCAUGAGUCCCCAUAACAAUUUUGAAAAAGCUAUGACCCUCUCACACAUUUUUUAAAUAUAUUUUUG